UUUUUAAACUCAAACACCCUCCCCAUCCCAUAAUGUGUGGAUACUGUUAGUCACAUCCAGAGGACAGCUUUGGCCCAUCAUAGAACUUUAUCCUUAGGGCUUGAAACUCAUCUAUGUCAAAAUUGGUCAAAUGAGGAACCUAUAAGUCUUGCACAAGACUAAUAUCUUUUACUCUACAACUCUCCAUUUAUGAGUUAAUCUGCAUACACAAUUACAAAGUCACUUCCAAAGUCACUUGACUCGGCAAUGGAAUUUAUAUAGAUUAUGAGGCUGUGACUAUACAGAUCCUGUUUCAUUUGUUUAUUUCUACAGCUGAUAGGCAAAGUGUUUCUGCAGGUCCCAGUUGAAAUCAAAGGUGUUGCUGGAGACUCUGUCAUCUUGCCAUGCUCUUAUAAAGAAAGAGUGCUGAAGACAGAGGAA